rnacentral:rRNA from 1 species
GACGAACGCUGGCGGCGUGCUUAAUACAUGCAAGUCAACUUGACUUUAGAUAGCAAUAUCGAAAAGUAGGGUGGCGCACGGGUGCGUAACGCGUAGGUAAUCUGCCUGAGGUCUGACAUAACCCGUCGAAAGGCGGGCUAACAUCAGAUGAUAUAUAAUCACGACAUCGUGGAAAUAUCAAAUCUUCGGAGCCUUGGGAUGAGCCUGCGUCUGAUUAGGUAGUUGGCGGAGUAAUAGCCCACCAAGCCUACGAUCAGUAGCUGGUCUGAGAGGAUGAUCAGCCACACCGGAACUGAGACACGGUCCAGACUCCUACGGGAGGCAGCAGUAAGGAAUAUUGCUCAAUGGGGGAAACCCUGAAGCAGCAACGCCGCGUGAAGGAUGAAAUACUUUUGUAUGUAAACUUCUGUAAGAUGGGAAAAAUAUUACUCCUCGGGAGAAUUGAUUGUACCAUCAGAGUAAGCCCCGGCUAACUACGUGCCAGCAGCCG